GCGGUCAUGGCGGAAUUGGCAGACGCGCUAGAUUCAGGUUCUAGUGUCAGCAAUGACGUGGAGGUUCAAGUCCUCUUGACCGCACCA
rnacentral:tRNA from 6 species